rnacentral:rRNA from 1 species
UACGUAGGUGGCAAGCGUUGUCCGGAUUUACUGGGCGUAAAGGAUGCGUAGGCGGACAUUUAAGUCAGAUGUGAAAUACCCGAGCUUAACUUGGGUGCUGCAUUUGAAACUGGGUGUCUAGAGUGCAGGAGAGGUAAGUGGAAUUCCUAGUGUAGCGGUGAAAUGCGUAGAGAUUAGGAAGAACACCAGUGGCGAAGGCGACUCUUUGGCCUGUAACUGACGCUGAGGCGCGAAAGCGUGGGGAGCAAACAGG